UACGUAGGGGGCGAGCGUUGUCCGGAUUUAUUGGGCGUAAAGGGCUCGUAGGUGGCCAACUAAGUCAGACGUGAAAUCCCUCGGCUUAACCGGGGAACUGCGUCUGAUACUGGAUGGCUUGAGUUCGGGAGAGGGAUGCGGAAUUCCAGGUGUAGCGGUGAAAUGCGUAGAUAUCUGGAGGAACACCGGUGGCGAAGGCGGCAUCCUGGACCGACACUGACGCUGAUGAGCGAAAGCCAGGGGAGCAAACGGG
rnacentral:rRNA from 1 species